ensembl:snRNA U6 U6 spliceosomal RNA
UUAAACAUGGUUCAGUUGUGCUCACAUUAGCAGCACAGAGAAGAUUAACAUGGCUACUGCACAAGGAUGACGUGCAAAUUUGUGAAGCAUUCCAUUAAAGA